GUAAGUAACUCGCUGGACAAUAACAAGGCAGGAAGGAGCGAAGGCGUGUCUGCCUCUGCUUCCUGACCACAUCACCGUAUUCCUUUCCCUCCUGCUCUGCUCUUCCUGGUCCUUCCACUGCACUUGGUCAUAACAUCAAUUCAAAAUCUGAGACUUCAAUCUCCGGGAUUAUACUACACUGUCUCUUGGCUCCAAGGCAAUGCUUAUGAGAGGAUCCUACUGCUAGUUCUAGAACACUAUUAAUCUGUUAUGGAAACACAACAACUGUAUUCCAAUGAAAGCAAAAGAUGUCUCAGAAAAAUUUUAGUCCACGAAAGAUGCCAAAGCCCCUCUUAGAAGGCAAGACAAAGUCAGCCCUUAUCUUCGGAGCUGGUGACUUGGUUGGCACUCAAAGCUUGCUCAGGGUUACUGUUCUGUGAGGGGUCUGGAAGUCCUGAAGCUCAGCAUAUGAUUGCACUGGGCAUAGACCUUGGAGACCUUGAAACUGAGACUAGUAUAAAACGCAGCUCAUUUCAGUAGCAUUAAGGUCACUGCCCUCAUCCAACCCACUGUUUUAACAUUGCCCAGUCCUUUCUUUAGAGCAUUUUUCCUUCUUCCAUUCUGAUCAUAGGCAUGGCCAAUCAAGGCCAAAGCUCCAGAAGACAAGUGAAUUGCUUGGGAAAGUAACUGAAGAAAUUCCCAGAGGUGGUUACUAACGAGGGCUUACAUGUCAAACAUCUGUCACGACUCACUUUCCAACUGUGGCUCGGCUGCCCAGGUGACAGGAGGCAAUGCACAGCUCCGAGGCAACAAAUGAGAAAGUUCCCUGAGUUUCAGAACAGAGACUGGAGGCGCCAUCUUGCAGACCCGUUGGACACCCAGACUGGAACAUUCUGGGCUUCCUGUCCCAGCCUGAGGGAGAAACCAAGGGUACACAUCACUAGAAAAUAACUACGAGGCCAGAGUCUUACACGGGAACUUGGAUCCGGAGUGGGCUUUGGGCAGACAAGGAG
rnacentral:lncRNA from 1 species